GAACUGUUGCAGGGAAAGACUAUGACUCAGAUUUCAUCAGCCAUCCAUAGUGCGCGGACUGGCCUCUGGCAAUCUAUAACUAAUUACCAUAAUGGCACGUUGCCGGGUCGAUCGCUGACGUGUAGAUGAGCAUAUCAAUAAAUUUAAUUACUUCGUGGCACGA